GAUGAAGAACGUAGCGAAAUGCGAUACGUAAUGUGAAUUGCAGAAUUCAGUGAAUCAUCGAAUCUUUGAACGCACAUUGCGCCUGCCAGCACUCUGGCAGGCAUGCCUGUUCGAGCGUCAUUUCAACCAUCAAGCCCUAGGCUUGCGUUGGAGCCCUGCGGCUGCCGCAGGCCCCUAAAAGCAGUGGCGGGCUCGCUAUCACACCGAGCGCAGUAGAUUACUCUUCGCUCAGGGCGUGUGGCGGGUUCCAGCCGUGAAACCCCUACUUCUCAAGGUUGACCUCGGAUCAGGUAGGAAUACCCGCUGAACUUAAGCAUAUCAAUAAGCGGAGGA
rnacentral:misc_RNA from 1 species